rnacentral:lncRNA from 1 species
CCACGUGACCCCCCUACCUACUCUUCUACACGUUUUUUUUGCCAUCAUCAUAUAGGAGGGGAAUAUAUGGACAUCAUUAUUUUUUCUCCAUGGGGUUUUUUCGAUUUUACACAAUAUACACAAAAGAAUACACAUAGAGAUGCCAUAUUCAGAAUACCUCACAGAUCCUCACUCUCAAAACACACAAAAAUCGCGCGCACACACACACAAAAAUUAGAGAGAGCAAGACGGACAAAGCCAAAAUAGCGAGAAAAAGAUCAAAAAGUGGACUGAUACCAGAAGAAGGGCGGUUAGAAUAGAGAACCAGCGAGAGAUCUAACUGUCUUCUCGAGUUUUUUCGAUGAACUUUUCGCCAAAAUUAGUUUAUAGUUCGUCUUUUGAUCGAUUCAGGCUUAAAAUCCCUAAAUCUCUUUGUUUCUGUUGAUUUCUAAGCAAAUUCGGUCGGAAAACACUAAGAUUCGUCGGAAUCCAUCUUGAUUCGUCAUUUUCUACCGCCGUCUGAGCUCACCAGAACUCGGGCUACAUUGGUUUUUGGUUUUCUAUCGUGUUGUUGGGGUUUUGAGUUCGUCUAUUUUCACAACUGUUGUUGAUAUCGGUCCUCGGGGUUUUCGUGAUCAAAUUGUGUCAACGUUUGUGAUUUGUGUUUCAUAUCAAGAGUUUUCCCACUGGUUUUGAAUCUGUCUGGAUCGUUAUUUCUUGAUAUUGAGUUGGAGUUUGGUUCGUUGUCGAGGUGCUUUAUUCGGGAUUCCAAGUUUGGGCUUUCUAAACAUUAUUAUCAACGAAAUUGGUUUUUCAAAGGUCCAUCCCUUAACUCUACUCCUUUAUUAUCUCAAAUGUGGGCAUGUCAUGAUUUUGUGGUGUGGUUUUGAAUAUUUUGAGCAAUGUCAAUUGUUGUUAUGGGUAUGAAUGACUCAUGUUCUUAAUAUGUUUGAAUCUUUGUUGGGUGUAUGUGUUUGAUGUUGGUUUCAGACUUUGAAAAGUGAUUUGAUAAUCGAAGAAUUUGUUAACCAUUGGUUGAGAAUGGAUCCGGGGCAGGAAUCAAAAAUUUGAUAAAAGAUGAAUAUAAAUUAGUUGUUUUGAUUCACUGUUAUUGUUACUUUAGCAUCCAAUUGUCAAUUCCUCGAUAGUAUCAUGAUAGGUCUAACAGGAUCGGCAAACAGUAGGCUUGGAUAGGCAAAUUUAGAAUUUGUGGAUUGUUGAGUAUGUGGAAUAUUUGUUGAAUGAUUUUAUGUUUUCUCGCAUUUGUAAAAUGUAUUCAUUUAGACGGGGAAUGCCCCGACGUAUCAUGUAUGCAAAGGAGGUUUUUGAUGAUGGCCCGAGGCAUCGGGUAAAGUAGUGGAGCUUAGUCUAGGAUUAGUUUAGAAUAGGAUUUACAUUUUUGCAAUUUUUUUAUUUUGGGACUGUAUAAUUCGGUUUGGACAUUAUUUUGGUUUUGAAUUUUGUUUGAUUUGUUUGUUUGCUUGUUUUGUGUGUUUAUGUGGUUUAUACAUUUUAUAGUGUCAAAUUAGCUGAUAUGCUCCACCAAGCUACCGUGGUCGAACCACGGGAUCGAGGGGUGCCUAACACCUUUUCCUCGGUCAAUAGAAUUUCUUAGUCGGAAUCUCUGUUUGCAAAUCAGUUUUUUUAAAGAGUCAAAAACAGUUUUGAAAAAGAAUUUUCAAAGGUGACUUGGCACACCUGAUUAUGCCAAGUGGUGACUCUGAAUUUAAAUAUAAAGGCACACCUGAUUAUACCAAGUGGUGACUCUGAAUUUAAAUAUAAAUAAUCCUUUUUCAAAAUAAAUUUUCAUUUUUGUCACUUAAUAAUAAAAACUCUUUCAAACUUUAAAAUAUAAUCUUUUUUGAUAAAAAAAAAAGGGUGUGACAGCCCUGGCGACUCUGCUGGGGACCAUUUUAGAAUUCGAGCUUAUUUUUGGAGUUGUAUCGGCUUAGUUUGGCUUUAUGGGUGUAUAGAUGUUGUUUGUGUUUUUGUUUGUAUUUGUUUUAUCAUGGUUGAGUGUCUACUUGCUACAUGUUUACAGUUUUUCCUUUUAUGUGUUACCACUUUAUAUCUGGCAUCAUUUGCAUAACCCGAAUCAAUUCUUUCUGCAAGAAGUUCUGUAGUACACGUUGUGUACACGACCUCUAAUUGAGUCACUCUUAUUUUAGAAGGGGGAGUCAUCGGCUGGUAUGGAGUAGGUGGAAAGAAAUUGCAGCCACUAUCGACCAUAUGCUCCCCCGAACAGCCUUAUUAGUGGACCCCAGCAUAGGUCAAUCUUUAGGUCAUGUUUAUCUGCAUCAUAUUGAGACCUAGCGGGACCCACUUGGUCCUUUGUAGGAGACUCACCCCUAAAAUAUCCUUACGUGUUAAUUGUUGCAUCUUUUAGGGUAAUAGGAUCAUUUAACAGACUGAUUCGGGAAAAGCUUGUUCUAGAAUUAAAAGAAAGUGUGUAGGCAAGGAAAAUUUCAAGAAAAAAAAGGAAAAAAAGAAAAGAAAGUGAGUCAAAAAAAGAGUUUCACAGUUUUUUAGAGUUCUUUAUGGCUUUUUUUUCAUAAUUCAAAAAUUCAAAAAAAGACUUUUCCCUAUUGUGCGCAUUUCUCAAAAAAAAACAAAAACAUCAAAAAGAUUGUCCUUUUGUUCCUUUAGCAUGCGUUCAUUAUUCAAAAAAAAAAAAAUUAAUAGGAGCUUUUUAUUAAAAGAAAAUUCAAAAAAAAUGGUAGAAGGUUUGUACAUUUCAUAUAAUGAAAAUAUCAAAAAGAUUUUUUUUCUUUCAUAGUUGUUGCUGUCAUUUUUGUGUGAAGUGUCAAAUUAAAAACCCAAAAAGAUUUUACUUUCAUCGUCUGUCUGUAAUCGCGUCGCUCAAGUUAAGUUUUAGUUUGUUAUCUAAUCCUUAAUUGUCCAAUCUGGACGAACUACGCAUACCUGAUUCUCGUCCCUCAGGGAGGGAUACAUAGGCAACCCUCGAUGGGUUCGGUAAUUCUUUAGUUCGAUCAUUGCCUCAGUCCUAGCCACAGGCCCUUUUUUUCUUAGUUUUGUAUUGUCGGUCAUAGCCAAACAGGCUAAUUUCAUUAGUAAGGCCAUUCAAUGCAUUUGAAUUACAAGUCGGUCUAUCCCUCCGUGUCAUACGACAUUUCUCCAUGUUAAAAUUCCGAGGGUUGGGAAUUCCUUUUCUCUUAUUGAAUUUUAAGUCAGUGUCCUAUGUGUUAAUAUAGGAUGGAUCCGUCUACAAAGUCUAGAGUCUUGAUGGUUUCCAAGGUGCCCAAAAAGUUAAUCAAAUGGUAGGGCAUGUUUAACUACGUCGAACAACAAGAGCUAACAAAGAAGUUAGGUACUCUCACCUCUAUCCUAGACCUCACGCCUGCCCUGAUCUGAUCGAGGCUAUAUUGACUUUUUGGGACCCAAAUUGUUUGGUAUUUAGGUUUGGAAGUUGUGAAAUGACGCCUACUUUGAUAGAGAUAUCUGGUUUCUUUGAUUUGUUUUACAUUAAGAAAAAGAUGAUUCGAGCGUGGAUUCAUUCUCCCACACGGUUCCUUCAUGAUUAUGGAUUAAAGAUGAAUAACCACCUGGGAUUCCUUAACCAAUCUUGGGUCUCCUUUGAUUACUUGUAUGCUCGGUUUGGGCCCUCAGACGGUUUUACUUGCUUUUGGGAUAAAUUCUAUACAACUAAGGAAAAUUGGAAGAAACGUCGUCUAAAAGACUUCACUCUUGCCUUGUUGGGCAUUUUAUUCUUUCCAUUAGAAGAAAGGUGGGUUAAUAGUCAUUUGCAGUCUGUAGUGAUGGCCUUAUUUCAUAAAAAGCUAGGGGAUACAUUCACUAUCCUACCUAUGAUCUUAGCAGAAAUAUAUAAUGCUUUGACCAAAGUAAAUGGGGGGAUGAGAUUUUUUUAGGAAAGCAACCUGAUAUUGCAAUUGUGGAUGAUGGAGCAUUUGCAUGCGCCUUCUUUGAUCAAAUCGAAUGUGGUCGACCGUUGUAUGCCCGAGCGAGUGAAAGCCAUGGAACACAGAAUGUGCUUUGAUAAGUUCUCACUACCAGUGAGAGUCGAUGCUUGGAUUGAACUUCUCGAGUCAAGAACUGAGGACAACAUUCUGUAGACCUAUCUCUAGAUUCAUCCAAAAAUAAUCCUAUAUGGUUGUUGGGUGCAGCUCCUUCUAGUUCUGUUAGGGCUCAAUUACACUAGGCCAUAACCUUCUUUUAGGGUGAUGCGCCAAUUGGGUAGAGUGCAAGACGUUCCACCAGUAAUGGAUCUUCUAAAGGAUGUUGAACAUUUUAAAAACCAAGCCUUAGGUGAGAGCAAAUAUGAACAGUUCUGGCAUCACACAACAAAGCUAGGUGUGGAUACUCUCAAAGUAGGUUUGCACAAUCUGGGAUACACUCAAAGAUAUGAGAUCUGGCUGCAAUCCAUACCUCAGGGUAUCAGUAGGCCAUUACUAGUUCAACUUAGAGGAAGGAUGCGGGAAGCAUACAUAGUUGAGGACAGUGAGAAGGAAGAUAGAGAUGCUAAAAUGGAGCUAUUGAGAGUUCAGUUAUCAGCUUUGAUCACAACUAUAGAGGGGUACCAGAAAAAACUUUUUGGGUGUACUCUCUAAGAGGCAGGGACACGUACGAGAAGCUUCCUACCGAGUAUCAAAGUGUCGUUGAAGGAUAUGUUGCAAAAUUUGAGUGGACUUCCCAGACAAGUCCAUCUCAGCCAGGGCCAUCACGCAGCGUAGCAGUUUGAAGGGGAACUUCCUAUCUUUUAUUUAGUUUGAGUCCUUUGUUUUUCUAUCAUUGUAUUGUUGUGUCUUUGUUAAGUUGGUGUCAAGUUUGUUUUAACAUUAGAAUCUUUCUUAGGAGUGUUACGCAUGUUGUCUUGUGGGUUUAGAGUGUUCUUCAGUCUUUGUUGAUUAGUAUUAAGGUUGUCUUAAAUUCGAAACUUGUUUUAGUUGUUUCUUUUAUGAAAUGUAAUGAUGUUGCGUUGUGCCUUUUUUUUUUGUUUUCAUCAUUAAAAAAAAUAAAAAAUCAUCAACUUUGUGCAUACUUCCCAAACUAUGCAAGAUCUAAUUCAUGUAUAACAUGAUACGUAGCAACUUAUUUUUGCGUUCGAUCUAAUCAUUUUAUUUCUUUGUUUUCCUCAAAUUAUUCUCCUUUACAGAAAAACAAAAACCACAAAGAAUGAUUAAAAAAAGAAUAGUAAGAGAAGAAAAAAAAAAGAAAGAAUAGUGAGAGAAGAAAAGGGAAGAAAAAGAGACUGAUGCAAAGAAGAGAGAAGCGGGGGCAAAAAGUAUAAAAGAAUGAGGUGUGGUGAGAGGGGAAGAAAAAAUAGUAUAAGGGAGAGAUCGGGAUGAUGUUAAAAUGGCCUCAUUACCCUCAAAGGCUGGUAGAAAUGCGCAUGAAUCUAGGAUGUGUAUACAAUGUGAUUUCCAUGCUUGUUGUGUGACCUAAUCCUAACAGGUUUUGUCUUUGAUGAGCAUGUUCUUUCAGAUAAAAGUGGUUGGCUUAUAGCACUCUGGCUAGUCAUCCUUACUUUACUAGAUCAAAAGCAAAGCUCGCCAUGUCCAACAAAGAAGUAGAAAAUUUGCUCAUUGACCUGAACCAGAGUCCUGGUGAAGGAGGUUCCGAACAUAAUGAAGAGAUAUUGAGACUCAGACAACAACUGGCAGAAAUGCACCAAGCCUGGGUCAGUGGCAUGUCUCUUUCUCUAUACCCAGAUGAUCUCGGCACACUUCCAAUUAUUCGUCGCUAUCUCAGGUGCAGUUUUAUGGUCCUACUAAUACGCCCUAUCAUGCGCCCAGAUUCAUGGAACAUCAGUACUAUCAUGGAACUUCUGGUGUGCCCUUGACAGUCCCUCAAUAGAGGCCUUCUUCUCAUUUAGAACCACCUACGGCACCUGUGUUUGUGGAUCCUCCACCACCUGAAUCUCUUACUUAUGGUGUUCGUCUAAUAAUCAUGCUCCCUAGAUCUACUAGUGAGCCGGUGUUGAAGGUUUCGGAUGAUCAUUAUUAUGCCCCGAAGCCUACUUUGAAUAUAACUAAACCGAAUGGGGACACUUAGCCACUUGUAUUUCUAUUUGAUAUAGAGAAACCUAUUGGAACAAAGGAACAAGAAGUCAUGGCAUGGAAAUUGAAGAGUCUAGAAUAGGCCAUGAGAAAUUUACAGGGACUUGGGGGUUAUAAAAGUGUUUCGUAUAAAGAUUUAUGUAUGUUUCUAGGUGUUAACCUUUCUCUUGGCUUUAAGAUGCCGAAGUUUGAGAAGUAUGAUGGACACAGGGCUCUGGUGGCGCAUUUGAGGCAUUAUUGUAAACAAUUAAGGGGCGCUGGAGGUAAAGAAGAAUUACUCAUGGCCUAUUUCAGUGAAAGUCUUUCGAGUCUAGCCUCAGAUGGUUUGUGGAUUAGGACAUCGACAAGUGUAAUAGUUGGGAUGACCUGGCUAAUAAAUUUGUGCAAGAAUUUCAAUAUAAUGUGGAACUAAUCACUGAUGAGAAAUCCUUGACUAAUAUGAAGAAGAAGAGUACUAAAAGCUUUAGGGAGUACGUGAUAAGGUGGCGUGGACAAGCCGCUAGGAUAAAACCUCCGAUGAAAGAAAGUAAAUUGGAGGAGGUCUUUAUUUAGACAUAAGAUGAAACCUAUUUCCAACACUUGCUUCCGGCGAUGGGUAAGUCAUUUAUCGAACUUCUCAAAAUUGGAGAGAUGAUAGAAGAGGGUAUCAAGAUCGAACGAAUCAUGAGUUUUGCUGCAUUAAAGGCCACCACCCAAGCAAUUCAGAGUGGUUCUGGAGCUUUUGGUGGGAAAAAGAAGAAAAAAGAUGUAGUGACUCUUGUAGCUGGACCACAAGCCUAUCCAAAAAAACUGCCUCGCCCCUAUCCCUAGUCUCAAGCCUAAGUCUAUGACCAAGUCCCAUAUACUCCCCCCAUCAUUACUACCCUCCGAAAAACCCACUAUAUUCUAUUCCACCACUCUUAUACCCAGUAUAUAGCGCACAGCCAUAUGUCCAAACCCCUUCCUACCCAUAAUAGCGUGCACCAGAUCCUCAAAAUCUUCCCUCAACACCACAAAAUUACCAAAAACCUUCCAAAUCUAGUUUUCAACCUACGAUUGAGUUUAAUAAAGUAAAGUUAGUCAAGAAUAAGUUCACACCUCUUGGGGAGUCAUAUUCUAGUUUGUUUCAAAGGUUAAAGAAGAUGAAGGUCUUGAGCCCAAUUCAAGGAAGCUUUCGAAUCCACCUCCAAAGAAUCUUGAUUAUUCUUUAAUGUGUAGAUAUUGUUCUGACAUGUCGGGGCAUGAUAUUGAGAAAUAUUGGUAUUUGAAAAGAGCCAUCCAGGAUCUGAUCAACACAAAUCAGAUUAUGAUACCAACCCCAGAGAUUCCAAACAUCAACCAAAAUCCAUUGCCAGCCCAAGUUGAAACAAAUAUGAUGGAGUUGAUAUAUGGUGGCAAAGAGUUGUUGAUGUGUUACAAUCCUAUUGUUAGAAUACAAACUAAUGAGGAUAAAUCGUUAAAUAUGGCGGAUUCAUUGAAGGCGAUGUCAUUGAGCCAAGAAGAAACGGUGGAAGACAAAGCCCAAGAAAACACGAGCAAACCCGUGAUCAUUGUAAAAGAUGUCAGAAAAAUUGGUGUUUAAAGUCAGGACAAACCCAAGUUAACGGUAGUAGGAGCUCCGAGCAAGCUUAUUUUGAUGGUAAAAGGAGUACUUGUAGCACCUAAUGUCAUCAAGUCGGUGACCCAACUCUCAUUAGUCGAUACAAAAAGGGUCCCCUAGAGGUAUAAUCAGACUAUGGUGACUUAUCAGGGGAAGAAAAUCUUGGAAGAAGUAGAUGAGGUAGGGUUUUGACUCUUUCAAGGAGAUAUUUUGUGCUAGAAGGGUUGAGAAAGUCUAAACCAAUGAUGAAUGGGCAAUCAUCUUAAAAAAGCCUAUCACCAAAGAAGAAGCUGAAGAAUUCUUGAAGAAUUUGAAAUUGCUAGAAUAUUUAAUCAUAGAUCAGUUGAAGAAGACUCCUACUCAAAUUUUCUUUAUAUCUUUGUUGUUAUAUUCUGAGGAACAUCGUAAUGUUAUAUUGAAGGUGUUGAAUGAAGCUUAUGUUCCUAAGGAAAUUACGGUGAAUCAGUUGGAUAAAAUUAUUGGAAAGAUCUUUGAGGUGAAUCGAAUUAGCUUUUCCAAAUGAUGAACUGUCUGUAGAAGGUAUAGGGCAUAACCGAGGACUUUACAUUACUAUGAAAUGUGAAAAUUUCUAUAUCACACGUGUCAUGAUUGAUGGAGGUUCUGGAUCUAAUAUUUGUCCUAUGUCCACCUUGCAAAAGUUGAAUAUCAGUUUCGAGAGGAUUCGACCCAAUAAUGUAUGUGUCAGAGCUUUUAAUGGAGCAAAAACAGACUCCAUUGGUGAAAUAGAUCUAAUACUAACUAUAGGGCCUAUUGAAUUCUCCAUAGAGUUCCAAGUAUUGAAUAUCGACGCCUCUUACAAUUUAUUAUUGGGAAGACCAUGGGUUCAUAAGGUUGGGGUGGUUGCAUCUACAUUGCAUUAGAUGAUCAAGUCUGAGCAUGGCAACCAAGAAGUAGUUAUUUAUGGUGAAGGGGAUUUUUCCAUCUCCAAAGACUCUUCCAUGCCUUUUAUUGGAGCAAAUAAUGUAGAGGAAACAUUUGUCUAUCAAUCUUUCGAUAUAAUGCUGGUAGAUCAUAUCUUCGAAGGGCAGGUUAUACCAGGGCCACAGUUAUCUUCUACUUCUGUCAUGAUGGUAAAUGAGAUGUUGAAAUAUGGAUUUGAGCCAGAAAAGGGUUUACGGGUGUCUCUACAUGGUAUAGUUCAUCCUAUAUGCCCGAGUGAGAACAUGGGCACUUUUGAUCUAGGAUUCAAACCUACAGUUGAAGAUUGGAAAAAGGCCAGGAAAAGGAAGAAGGAAACGUUGUCACUCCCUUACCCAGUGUCGCUACUCAGUAAGUCGUUUGUCAAGAGCAGUGUCAUAAAGCUAUAGAGUUCAAAGCUGAGUUAGUUGAUGACUUCCAAAACCUGUUGGUUAAAGUUGAUAGGGUUAAAGUGGGAGAAGGUACCAGCAAGGUAGAUGCGCAGUUCAUAAGUCCUGAUGUUCGACUCAACAAUUGGGAAGUUACUACUUUCCCCAUCAAGAGGGAGUUUUGGUAGUUUGUCUUGUUUUUCUUUCUGUUUAUCCAAGUUAUUUCAGGGUUGUAAUUUGGAAUUUAUCUUGUUUAUGUUCUGUUUUCAUUUAUGUCUAAACCCUUCUAUCUUUUCUUUUAAAUGAAACGCAAUGUCCCUUUUGUUUUAUGUCUACUAUAUCUUGUUUGUCUUUUUUCCUUAUACAGUUCUCUUUAUGUUGAUUCUAGUGAUAUGACAUGCAUGCAGAAUUUUUAGACUGAUCUUAAAAUCCAAUCUAAUCAAGAUAUAAUGAAGCAAGAGGUGGAAUAUGAUGAAGAAGAGGCAUUUGAGGAAGUAAGCAAAGAAUCAAAACAGUUUGAAGAUAAGGCGAACCAUAAUUUGAAUAAAACUGAGCCAAUUAAUCUAGGAGAUCAAGGAGAUAUUAAGGAAACUAAAAUAAGUGUACAUGCUUUGCUACAUCUAAAAGUGGGAAUGAUUCAAGCAUUAAUCGGUUGUAAAGAAGUUUUUGCAUGGUCUUAUGAUGAUAUGCCUGGUUUAAGCACUGAAUUAGUGGCUCAUAUAUUGGCAACUGAUCCUUCAUUCUCUCUUGUCAAACAGAAGUUGAGAAAAUUUAAAACUGAUGUAAGUAUAAAAAUCAAAGAGGAAAUCAUGAAACAACUUGAGGCCAAAGUCAUUUGAGUGGCCCAUUAUCCUACUUGGUUGUCCAAUGUUGUUCCUGUUCCAAAGAAAGAUGGCAAGAUUUGAUUAUGUGUUGAUUAUAGGGAUUUGAACAAAGUAAGUCUGAAGGAUAAUUUUCCACUGCCCAAUAUCCAUAUUUUUCUUGAUAAUUAUGCUAAACAUGAGGUAACAUCUUUUGUGGAUUGCUAUGCUGGGUACUAUCAAAUCAAUAUAGAUGAUAAUGAUGAGGAAAAGACAUCUUUUAUCACACCAUGGGGAACUUAUUAUUACCGAGCGAUGCCGUUCGGCUUGAAGAAUGUUGGAGCAACAUACAUGAGAGCAAUGACCACUAUAUUUCAUGAUAUGAUGAUGUAGAUGAUGUGAUUAUUAAGUCAAAGAAUCAGUCUGACCAUGUUAAGGAUCUAAGGAAGUUCUUUGAAAGGCUUCGCAGGUACAAUCUCAAACUUAAUUGGAAAAUAUGUAUUUGGAGUGACGUCUGGAAAGCUGUUGAGGUUUGUAGUUAGUCCGUCGGGGUAUUGAAUUGGAUCCUUCAAAGAUAAAGCGAGAUUUGUCGUCGUCCAAGAACAGAACAUAGGUAAUGAGUUUGCUUGAUAGAUUGAACUACAUCAGUAGGUUCAUUGCUCAACUCACAACCAUUUGUGAGCCCAUAUUCGAGUUACUGAAGAAGAGUGUUACAGUGGAGUGGACUGAGGAAUAGCAGGAAGCAUUUGAUAAAAUAAAAAAAUAUCUGUCUAAUCCACUUGUGUUGGUACCACCGGAUCCUGGUAGGCCUUUAAUCUUGUAUUUAUCAAUUAUGGACAACUCCUUCAGUUGUGUCUUGGGUCAACAUGAUGUCACGUGUAAAAAGGAGCAAGUUAUUUAUUAUCUUAGCAAAAAGUUCACAACAUAUGAAGUCAGGUACACUCUUCUUGAAAAGACGUGUUGUGCCCUAACUUGGGUAGUGCAGAAAUUGAAGUAUUAUUUUUCAUCCUACACUAAUUAUCUCAUCUACCGCAUGGAUCCUUUAAAGUAUAUCUUUCAAAAGCCUAUGCCAACAUGUCAAUUGGUGAAGUGGCAAAUAUUGCUUACCGAGUUUGACACUGUAUAUGUGACUCGAACAGCCAUGAAAGCCCAAUCCUUGGCAGAUCAUCUUGCUAAGAACACCAUUGAUGAAGAAUAUGAACCAUUAAAGACAUAUUUUCCUGAUGAAGAGGUGUUGUGUGUCGGUGAAGUCAUUAUAGAUGUUGAUCCAGGUUGAAAGAUGUUCUUUGAUGGAGCUGUUAACAUGAAAAGAGUAGGAAUAGGUGAGUACUGAAUAAAAAAUUAACAUAACACAUGUGCGGAAGAUAAACUCAGAAGGUAAUGCAAAUCCGAAUACUAAAAUACCAAAUCAAUCAUAAGUUUGAAACAUCUAGUAAAGUACUAAAAACCAAACUGUCUAGCUGAAACAACUGAUAAGACUGAUAAAAACUGACUAAUUGUCUAAUUGACUGUCUGAUUGUCUGAAAACCUCUAAACUGACUAAGAAUUUGAUGGGACAUGUGCCCAACUAACUUCGACUGACUGAAAAUAUAGAAUACUGAGAUAACUAAAUAAUCAUAAUAUGUCCUCGAUGGAUGAGACCACUAUGUCUGUUGAAUUAUGCUGAAUUGUCUAACUGUGGUCGAGAUAUUGUGCAUCUGAACUUAUGAUAUAAGACAUCAUAGCACAAAGAAGAGUAUAGUCAGUACUUUAAAUAUACUGGUAUAUGAGAUAGGGACUAGCUGAUAUGCACGGGGUAUUAUGCAAAUGAAAUAAGGAAUAACUAAAUAGCAUGAGAUAACUGAACAUGAAUGCAUGAAAACUGUAACAUCUGAGAAUUCAAGACCAAGCAUACACAUAUAUCUGAAAUAAUUUGUAAAUUGAAGGACUGAAAUCUGAUAACUCAAUAACUGAGAAUUUGUAUGCUUUGGUCAAACAAACCUGAACUGAAACUAUACUGAAUAUUGCACUGAGACUGUGGGAGGCAUCAUUUAACCAACAUGCCCCAAUCUAAGCUAAUCGCAGUCCAACCUGUAACCCCAGUUGGAAGAGUGUCAAUAUCAUGCCACGGGUACUAACAUUGGCUGUGUAGAUCCACUAAACUGGUGUCCCGAAGGACUAAGGAGUCACCCUCAACUGGCAGGUGCUCCAAUGAGAUAUGUGUCACCCUACACCUUGUCAACCCUCAAUUGGCAGGUAGACAUCUCUAAGCUACGCUGGCUGCGUAGUUCUGUAACUUGGGGAUUUCUACUAAGGGUCACACCCUCUACUGUCAGGUGAGCCCUUAUCCUUGAGUUUACUCAGUGUUAAAUCCUACUUAUAACUGAACUAACACUGAUACUGGAAUGGACUUAACUAGACUAAACAUUAUUACAUAACUUAUGGUGCUCAUCAUGAUCAUAAACAUAUAAGUAUACUGAUAAGAGUCAUGGAUUAACUGUCUGAGUACUUGAAAAGCUGAAUUUAUGUAAAACACAUAGGUAUUGGGUGUUCAUAACCCACCAGCACUGAAUGAAUAUAAGUAUGAAAUAUCAAACUUGAAAGAUAGUAAUACUUGAUUCUAGUUUAAAACCCCAAACAUGGCAGUUCAUCAAAACAGGUGAAAAUCAUAAACUUAAACAUGAGAAUAUCUUAAACAUGAGGAAACAAUAGGAUUUUAUGGCUAAACUCAUAACUUGAGGAUUCAUCCUAAAACCAAUUGAACAUGACAUAGAAAUUUCAAUACUCAAACAUGAUAUGAUUAAUUCUACUUGAAAAUACUUGUAACCAUAACUUGUAAUUGAAUUAACAAGAGAUUCAUGGAGUUAGUUCAACUUGAACAUUUAAAACUCAUAAUUUAAAACACCAAAAAGGGUUCUUGGACUCCAUGAGUGAAAGGAACCCAUGGAUGAACAUGACACAUACCUUAAUGGCUGAAAUCUUGAAGAUUGCUUGAACUUAAGAGCUUGAACCCUUGUGUUCUUAAGAUGAAAGUAAGGGUUUGUUCUUGGGGAAAAAAGGGUUUCUUAAGAGAGUUUAUGAGUAAAAGGGAAAAUAAUGCUCCUUAGGGACUCAAAUUUCAUGUUAUGGAUGAGUUGGAUGAAGGGGAAAUGACCCAAAUGCCCUUAAAUGACAUGGAACAAAAGUGGACAAAAAGGGGAGGGGCGAGCUCUGAAGUGGGGGACUAGGCCAGGCGGUGCCCGCCUUACCUCGAUGGACUGGACUAGGUGGCGCCCGCCUUACCUUGGUGGACUAGAACAGGUGGCGCCUGCUUAUCCCAAUGAUGCUACUGUUUUGGUUUUCCAAACACGCCCCUACAUACAUUUAAAAUAACAUACUUUGAACCACCCCGAUCAUGAAUCAACUCAAAAAAUGAGAUCCGAGGUAGGGAAGACCAAAAAUAAAAUCAUUGAAGUUUAGGGGCCUUGGAAAUGACUAAGUCCUCAACACUUAGUAAAAUUUCUAAGUCUUAGACCCCUUUCAACAUGAAAUCACGAGCUGAAUUGAGCUAGGAUCUUAUAGGGCAUUACAAUAUCUCCCCCUUAGGAAAAUUCAUCCUCGAAUAAGGCUGGUUAGACUGAGACUACUGAGGAAAUUGGGGUCAUAUACUAAACAUGCAUAAUUGAAAAUAUGAUUGCAUAACUGAGUCUGAAGCAUGAUACAUAAGCUAAACUAGUUUCGUGAAUGCAUGAAAUGACAUGAGGAUGGAUAUAUAGAUGAAACAGGGAACUGGAAAGAAUCAAUUUAAAGAAAAUUGUUACUUUAAGUUGAAUCUGAGUUUGCGGAGAAAAAAUGAGGGUACUUGGUUCGCAUAUUUGUUUCUGCUUCCCAAGUGGCUCCCUCAACGGAUUGAUUCCGGCAAAGAACUUUGUCCAAGGGAACUUCUUUGCUCCUUAGUCUAUGAAACUGACGAUCAAGGAUCUCAACUGGGACUUCUUCGUAAGAAAGGCUAACAUGAAUAUCCAUACUUUUUAAUGGAACAACAACAGCUGAAUCACCAAUAUACUUCUUCAACAGGGAAACACGAAACAUUGGAUGCACUGAUGUUAAAUCUGCAAGCAACUCAAGCUAAUAAGACAUCUUUCCAAAAUGACCCAAGAUUUUUAACGAGCCAACAUAUCGGGGACAGAGUUUCCCCUUCCUGCCAAAUCUCAACACUCUCUUCAUGGGAGAUAUUUUUAAAUAGACUAAGUCAUCAACCUCAACCUCAAGAUCUUUUUUCCUCACAUCUGCAUAAGAUUUCUGAUGGCUUUGGGCAGUCUUCAGCCUCUCUCUAAUUAACUAAACCCUCUUCAUUACCUCAAACACUGAAUUUGGCCCUACCACUGUAGCCUCGCCUGCUUUAAACCAACCAAUAGGAGAUUUACAUCUGCUUCUAUAGAGAUCCUUAAACGGAGCUAUCUGAAUACUGGAGUGAUAGCUGUUGUUAUAGGCAAACUCAAUCAAAGGUAAAUAGUCAUCCCAACUACCUUUAAAGUCAAUGACACAAGACCUUAACAUGCCCUCUAAGGUUUGAAUAGUCCUCUCUACCUGACCAUCUGAGGAUAAAAAAUUAUACUGAGAUGAACUUGGGUACCCAAACCCUUCUGAAAAGCCUUCCAAAAGUGAGAGGUAAACUGAGUACCUUUAUCUGAAAUAAUAGACAAUGGAAUUCCAUGCAACUUAACCAACUCCCUAAGGUAAAGUCUAGCAUAAUCCUCAGUUGAGUGCGAAAUAUGAACUAGUAAGAAAUGAGUUGAUUUGGUCAUUCUGUCUAUAAUACCCAUAUCAAAUCAUACUGACGAUGAGUACGAGGCAACCCCAUCAUAAAAUCCAUGUUUACCACUUCCCACUUCCAAGUGGGGAUGCUGAACUCCUGUAAUAUACUACUAGGCCUCUGUUGCUCAACUUUAACUUGCUAACAAUUAGAAUACUUAGCUACAAACUCUGUAAUAUCUCUCUUCAUACCACUCCACCAAUAGACUUACCACAAAUUGCGAUACAACUUAGUGGCUCUUGGUGUAUAGAGUAAGGCGUACCAUGCACUUCUACGAGAAUUCACUGCCUCAAACCAUCAACACACGAAACCACAGCCUACCCUGACAAUACAACACACUAUUUCUCUCUUGGGAAAAAACCUCUAUCUUCUGAUCUCUAACUGAUUCCUUCAAAUUAACCAAACUAGGAUCCCUAUCGUGCUUUUGUUUUACUUCAGCAACCAAUGAAGAUUCUGAACUAUUCUGAACCCAUACACUACCUUCAGCUGAAUCAACCAACCGAACACCUAAUUUACCAAGUUAAUGAACCUCCCUGACUUACUUGUUCUUAUUCUCAUCAACAUGGGCAACACUACCCAUAUACAAUCUACUCAGGGCAUCUUCCACUACAUUGGCCUUACCCGGAUGAUAAAACACACUCAUAUCAUAAUCUUUUAACAACUCAAUCUAUCUUCUCUGAUGAAGAUUCAAAUCUUUCUGUGAGAACACAUAUUGUAAGAUUUUGUGAUCCGUGAACACAUCAAUACGAACUCUAUAAAGGUUAUUCCUCUAAAUUUUUAAGGCAAAGACAAUAGUUGCCAACUCAAAAUCAUGAGUAGGAUAAUUAUUUUCAUAGGGUUUAAGCUGUCUAGAGGCAUAGGAUAUGACCUUACCUCUUUGCAUCAAAAUACAACCCAGACCAACUCUGGAAGCAUUAUAGUAAACUAUAAAUCCAUCCAAACCAUCUGGUAAGAUCAAGACUGGGGAUAAGGUGAGAUGAGUCUUCAACUCCUGAAAACCCUUCUCGUAGGAAUAUGACCACUAAAAAUUUCACUUUCUUCUGAGUCAAUUGGGACAUGGGGAAGCAAUAUAAGAAAACCCUUCAACAAACCAUCCGUAAUAGCCCGUUAAACCCAAGACACUUCUAAUAUCUAAUGGAGAGAUAGGUCUAGGCCAGUUUCUCACUACUUUGGUCUUUUGAGGAUCAACUCUAAUGCCAGCACCAAAAAUAAUAUGGCCAAGGAAAUCUAUUUUAUCUUAGCCAAAAUUCGCACUUACUAAAUUUGGAAAACAACUGAUGGGCUCUAAGAUUCUACAAUACAAUUCUGAGAUAGUCUGCAUGAUCAUUCUCAUAAUGGGAAUAGACAAGAAUAUAAUCAAUAAAGACUAUGAAGAACAUGUCCAAGUAUUGCUUAAACACUCUGUUCAUCAGUUCCAUGAAAGCUGUAGGGGCAUUCGUUAGUCCUAAAUGCAUAACUAGAAAUUUGAAGUGGCCAUACCGAGUUCUGAAAGUUGUCUUUGGAAUGUCACAUUCUCUGACUCUAAGCUGAUGAUAGAUGGAUUUGAGGUCUAUCUUAUAAAAAUAACUAUCACCCUAAAGUUGGUCAAACAAGUCAUCAAUUCUUGGGAGUGGGUACUUAUUCUUGACUGUGACUUUGUUCAACUGACGGUAAUCAAUGCACAUCCUGAGAAAACCAUCUUUCUUACGCAUGAACAAGAUUGGAGCACCCCAUGGAGAAACACGGGGCCUGAUGAAAGAAUUAUCUAAGAGAUAUUUCAACUAUUCUUUCACUUCCCUAAGCUCAGCUAGAGCCAUUCUAUAGGGUCGAAUAGAGAUAGACUGGGUAUCUAGAAGGAGAUCUAUUGUAAUACCCCAAAAAAUCCAAACCAAUAUUAGAGACAUGUACCAAGCUCAUGCAUAGUACAUCAUGGUUAUUUUAUAGUUUUAUGACUAAUUUAUAUGUGUAUUAAGGCUUCAAAUAACUCCCAACUAUCAGAUGAAUCAAAAUAUUCCUUACCGAUUGAAUUCUUGAGAAGGAUAUGGUAUAAUCAACUUCAAAUGAGCAUAUCUCUCAUUAUACUUGGAAUUUUUUAUCUCAUGACCUAUCAAAAUAUAUAUAAUUGAAUUAUCUUUAUAACGAUACCAAUUUUGCCUAAAUUUGAUAUUGGAGCACAGAGUUAUUCCUAUUUUACUCUAGCAUGUCAGGCUGGAAACAGUGUGACAAUAUUUGUGGUAGCUUACCACAUUUGUGACGCACUAUCACGAAGGUUGUCAGCCUUAGGAAAAAAUCAGAUCCUAAGUGACGACAUUCGUGGUAGCUUACUAUAUUUUUUAUGCCAUGUCACAAAUGUCGUCAGCCUUAGGCAAAAUAUAGCUUGUGUGAUGACAUUUUUUACGACUUACCACAUUUUUGACGCCAUGUCAAAAAUGUCGUUAGCCUUAGGCAGAAUUCAGCUUCUGUGUGACGACAUUUUUGAUGUCUUACCACAUUUUUGACGUCAUGUCACAAAUGUUGUCAACCUUAUGCAGAAUCCUGAUUCUAUGUGAUGACAUUUUUUACGGCUUACCAUAUUUUUUAUGCCUCAUCACAAAUGUCAUCAACUAUUAUCUUCAGCAACUAGGAAUUUAUUUCAUGAGGGUAUUUUGGUCUUUUUCCUUCACUUCCCAUGACUUAUAACCCUAAAGGCAUAAUUUUUCCCAUUUUUCUUCAGUUAAGCAUCUCAAAAACCCUCUCUUACGCUUUCAAACACAAGAUUAGGGUUUCCAUCAAACUCAUCUCUCAAAAGCAAGAUUCAAGCCUUUUUCCAAGAUAAUCAAAAAUUAAGUUUCCCAAUCCAAGAACUCUCCAGCAAAUCAUCAAGGUUUCCUUUCUAAGGUAUGCGUAGUGUUCAUCUAUGGAUCCAAUCCGUUCAUAGAGCUUAAGAACCAUGUUGUAAAUACUAUUUUGUGAACUUUUUGUGGUGAUAUGAGUAUGUACAUGUUGAUGAUUGUUGUUUAAGUUUCAAGAUGAUAUCUAGCGGUGUUUUCAUGGAAUAUAUAUGCUUGUUAGUUGAAAACUAUGAACCUUAGAUGGUGUAAAAUGGUACAAGUUAUGAAACACACCUAUGCCUUAAAGAUUGCAUGCAAGGUGUUUGAUAAAAUGCUUAGAAUGCUGAAAUUUAUGUUUAUAUGGUUCCAUGAUGUCUAAAUGACAAGUCCAUGUUAGCUAUAUGCUUUAGUAUAAAUUUCGUGCUUUUCAUGUGCUGCUAUUGUUGUGGUAUGAAGCAUGUAUGAUAAUGGAGAUAUACAAUAUGCACAUGAAAUAUAGCUAUGCACUCCCUACCAUGAUUAAUAUGUCGAGGAACUACAUGAAGUAUAAUAUCCCCUACUUAUGAUAAUGUGAAUUGUGGACUCCAAUCUUAUGAUCAAGUCAGUCAUGUUGUGACAGUUUCCUUCCAUCGAGUCCUGGGGGUAUUCGUACCCGAAAAUAUAGUUGUGUGCCUAGAGACAUGUCAUGUUAUCACGACACUCUCAGUCAAGCCAUGAUCUAUAGAAUUCAGUUAGUCAUAUGACUCAGGAAAAUCUAGUAACCUCAGUAAUCUCAGUAGUUCAGUAAUCUCAGUUAUCUCAAUACUCAGUAAUAUCUGUAACCUCAGUAUUCAAAGUCAAUCUUAGUAACUCAUUACUCUCAACCAGUCCUCAGAACUCAGUAUCUUCCGUCAGUCAUCAGAAUCCAGUAAACUCAGUUUUAGCUCUGCUAAAUAAUACCACUAUUUUCAGUUCAGUUAAUCAGUAUCAGUUCAGCAAAUCAGUUCAGUUAAGUUAUUUAGUUUAGCCUAGUUAUUCAGUUUAGUAGCUUUUAGAUGGGAGUAGGAUUCAGCACUGAGCGAACCUAGGGAUGGGGGUUCACCCGCUAAAGUAGGGCUGAGAUCCCUAGAAGCAAUCCCUAAGUUCCAAAACUACGUAGCCAGCAUAGGUACGAGAUGCCACCCGUUAGAUAGGACUGACAUACUCAGGGGUCACCCGUUAGUACAUUUAUAUGUAUAGGACUAAUCCCAAGAGUCAACCGCUAGAUUAGGACUGACUCCACAGCAGAUGUCUUUACUGGUGGCGCGGUACUGACGCCCUUCCAGUCAGGGCAGAGAUUGGACCCCAGUCAGCUUAGCUUGGGGCAUGUCGGUUAUAUGAACACAUCCCACAGUUUCAGUUAUAGAUUCAGGACUGUCAUAUAUAGUCAACUCAGUUUAGUAGUACAGAUUCAGUACUGUUAGAUACAGUCAAUGCUUAUCAUUGUAAAUAGACUUCAAGAUCCCCCAUUAGCUAGGACCGAUCUCAACUAUGAUUAAUCAGUAUCAAAAUCAUUAGAUUUAAAGAUCACCCGCUAGAUAGGACUGAUCUCAGACUAAGUCAAAUCAUCCUUAUUAUUAGUAUGCUCAUGAUCAACCGCUAGAUAGGACUGAUCUCAGAUUUAGUUAUUCCAAGUAGAACGGAACUCAGAUAAUUCCAUCAAAACUUAGACUGUUAAAUACAGUCGCUCAGUAUUAGUUACAUCGGUUAGGAUGAUCAUCAUAGUUAUAUCAGUUAUAUUAGUUUUUUGAACUCAUAUAUCAGUCAUAUCAGUUAUCAGAAUUCAUAAUAUCAGUAAUCAGCUUCAGGACUGUCAGACACAGUCAACCAGACCAGUUUUUUAUAAUUCAAACUAUCAGAAAUAAUCGUUCAUCUAUUCAGUAUCUCAGUAUCAGUACACUCAUAUUGUCAGUAUUCAGACUCAGUAGUCAGCAUCUUCACGAGUUCAGUUACAAUUAUGUAUGCAUGUAUGUAUUCUCGCAUUCAUAUUACUCAGCAUUGUUCAUGCAUAUAACCCUUUGAAUUUAGCCUACCUCACUCGUAUACUCAGUAAAUUCAGACGUACUGACACAUUUGUGCUAUGGUUCUUUCUCUUAUGUUACACCAUAGGUUCAGAGGCACGAGCUCUAGAUCAGUAGUAGCAUUCCAGUAUUCAGAGUUUGCAGUGAGUCUUUUUCAUUCAAGGACAGUAUGAUUGUUGCUUCAUUUGUUGUUUUAGUUUAGUUACUAGAUGGAUUUAGUUGGGGACAUGUCCCAUCAACUCCUUAUUUUGACAGUUUAGAGGCUUUCCAGACUAUAGCAUGUCGGACAGUUAUUUUAGAUUUGUUUUGGUAUUAUUACACCAUUUUCAGAUGUUUAUUCACAUUUGAACCUUAUGGCCAUUCAAUACAUGUUUCCACAUUUUCAUGUUAUAUUAUACAGUGUACAGGUAUAGAUAUCAGUCAUGGGUUAGCUUGUGGUCCUUCGGGGUCAUGAGCACCGUGUAGUAUUUCAGUUCAGAAAAUUGGGGUGUUACAUCUAUUCCGAUGUUAAUUUCCCUUUUGGGAGAAACUUCGAGAAGGUCUUCAGGGAACACAUCUGGAAAUUCCCUUACUACUAAAACUGACUCGAGACAUGGAGUUUCAAGACUGGAGUCUUUGACUCAAAUAAGAUGAUAAACACACCCUUUAGAUAUCAUUUUUCUUGCCUUAAGAUAGGCAAUGAUCUGACUCCUAAGCAAAGAGGUAUUGCCCCUCCAUUUAAUGAUUGGUUCAUUGAGAAACUAAAAUUGAAUGAUUCUAUUUCUACAGUCAACUGAAGCAUAGCAUGAGUGAAGCCAAUCCAUGCUGAGAACAACAUCAAAAUCAGUUAUCUCUAACUUUACAAGAUUAGCUGAGGUGAAUUUUUGGGAUACUGUGAUUGGGCAAUUUUUGUAUACCCGUCUAGCUAUAAUAGAUUUACCCACUAGGGUAGACACUGAGAAAGGUUCUGCUAAAUUUUUGGGACUAGCAUCAAAAUUGAUCGCUAUAUAAGGAGUCACAAAAAAGUGAAGCUUCGGGAUCUGAUAAAUCAUAAAUAUGAAGAUGAAAGACCUGUAACAUACCCGUAACCACAUCAAGAGAACUCUCCUAAUUCUGUCGAGUUUGAAGAGCAUACAACAUGUUCUGAUACUGCCCAUUAGUUAUGCUGGAAGCGGUACCCUAUUGAGUCAAGCGAUCGGCUGGAACUGAAGGACGAUUAGACUGACCCUACUGGCUGGCCUUUAGGCAAUCUCUGACUCUAUGGCCUGGCUUGCCAAAUCCAAAACACACAUCACUGCCAGCUCUACACACACCCUGAUGAUGCCUGCCAUAUUUCCCAUAAAGUGGAUUAGUACGAACAUUGUUCACACUACCCUAGGACUUGGAGACUGGCACUCUAUCCCGACUAUCUUUCCUAAACUUAGGCACUGGUACACUAGCUGAAGAUGGGGUUGGGGCUGAGGAAUUCUAUCAGAAUUGAGAACGAUUACCACCCUCUAACCUCAGUUGAGAAAAAGUUAAAACUACCCAUUCUGGCCUUUUUAUUCUCUCUCUCCUUCUCCUUACGCUUCUCUUCCUCAAUUUACUGAGCAUGAACCAUAGAUAAGCCCAUCUCCUUAAUUAACAUUGCAGUCCUACACUCUUUGACCACACUAUCAGAUACCCUAAAUACAAACUUACUUAUUCUAGAAUUGUUAUCAGCCACCAUCGAAGGAGCAUACCUCGCUAAUUGAGUAAACUUAAGUGAGUACUUCUUCACACUCAUACUACUCUACUUCAAGUUAAUGAACUCCUGAAUCUUAGCCUCCCUUAACUCUAAUGGGAAGAACCUAUCAAGAAAAGUCAUGGCAAGCUCUUCCCACUCAACUGGCCCUGAUAUGCAACCAACUCUGCACUCUCAGUUGAGGUGAUGCCCAUGAUAUCAGUCACCUUCUGAACCAUAUCUAGAAUUUUUUAUGGAUUCUCCUCAAACUUGGAUCCCAAAAAAGAGGGGGAUUCAUUCGGGUGAAAUCCUGUAUCCUAGCUGUAGCUAUGUUUGCAACUGGAUUAGCUGGGGAAAUAGCCUGUUGAUUGUUCUGAGCAGCUACUGAAUAAGCUAAAGUAGUGAAAACAUCUUUGAAUUCGGCAUAAGAGACAUGUUCAUUCAGGGGAUCUUCCUGAACAAAGGUCGUGUAGNNNNNNNNNNNNNNNNNNNNNNNNNNNNNNNNNNNNNNNNNNNNNNNNNNNNNNNNNNNNNNNNNNNNNNNNNNNNNNNNNNNNNNNNNNNNNNNNNNNNNNNNNNNNNNNNNNNNNNNNNNNNNNNNNNNNNNNNNNNNNNNNNNNNNNNNNNNNNNNNNNNNNNNNNNNNNNNNNNNNNNNNNNNNNNNNNNNNNNNNNNNNNNNNNNNNNNNNNNNNNNNNNNNNNNNNNNNNNNNNNNNNNNNNNNNNNNNNNNNNNNNNNNNNNNNNNNNNNNNNNNNNNNNNNNNNNNNNNNNNNNNNNNNNNNNNNNNNNNNNNNNNNNNGUGUAGGCUGAUUCCCGUUCCUUCUUUUGUUAUUUCUCUUAGGAGGUAUUAUCUGAAAAUAAAAUGAAGGAUGAGUUAGAAAAAGAGUUUAAAUAGAGCUCAUGCUCAUUCGCAUGACAUGAAUACUGAAAAAAGGUAAAACUUUUGCUAAAACAUCUUGUAGCCUCUUGUGCAUAAGUGUGGUGUGCUUCACACCCAUGCGCAAGACUCUACUCAACGCGGCUUUCAAACUACCUAGGAUACUUUAAAACUCUGGGCUCUGAUACAAAGUUUUGUCAUGACCCGAGGCUACCUCCUAGUCGCGACAACAGAGCUUACGAUAACAAGUGACCAUAAGCUGGUACCUGUUGUGAGUAUUAAAUAAAAUAUUAACAUAGCACAUGUGUUGGAGAUAAACUAAGAAAUUAUUGUAAAUCUGAAUACAGAAAUACUGAAUCAAUCAUAAAUCUGGGACAUCUGGUAAAAUACUAAAACUAAAUUCUCUAGCUAAAAUAAUUGAUAAGACUGAUAAAAACUGACUAACUUCUAACUAACUGUCUGAUUAUCUGAAAGCCUCUAAACUGACUGAGGAGUUGAUGGGACAAGUCCCCAACUAACUUCUACUGACUAAAAAUAAGGAAUACCAAGAUGACUGAAUAAUCAUAACUUGUCCUCGAUGGAUGAGGACUCACUACUAUGUCUGCUGAAUUACACUAAGUUGUCUAACUGUGGCCGGGAUACUGUGCGUCUGAACCAAUGAUAUAAGACAUCAUAGUGUAAAGAAGAGUAUAUGGUCAGUACUUUAAAUGUACUGGCAUAUGAGAUGGGGACUGGAUAAUAUGCAUGGGGUAUUGUGCAAACCAAAUAAGGACUAAUUGAAUAGCAUGAGAUAACUUAAUAUAAAUGCAUGAAAACUAUAACAUCUGAGAAUGCAAGACCAAGCAUAAACUUAUAUGUAAAAUAAUCAGUAAACUGAAGGACUGAAAUCUGAUAACUGAAUAACUGAGAAUAUGUAUGCUUUGGUCAAGCAAACCUGAACUAAAAUUAUACUGAAUACUGCGCUGAGACUGUGGGAGGUAUCAUCUAACCAACAUGCCCCAAUCUAAGCUAAUCAGGGUCCAACCUGUAACCCCAGUUUGAAGGGUAUCAGUACCGUGCCACGGGUACUAACAGUGGCUGUGUGGAUCCACUAAACUGGUGUCCCAAAGGACUAAGGAGUCACCCUCAACUGGCAGGUGCUCUAAUGAGAUAUAUGUUACCCUCAAUUGGCAGGUAGACACCUUGUCACCCCUCAACUGACAGGUAGACAUCUCUAACCUAUGCUGGCUACGUAGUUCUAUAACUCGGGGAUUGCUACUAUGGGUUACACCCUCUAUUUAUAGGUGAGCCAUCAUCCCUGAGUUCACUCGGUGUUAAAUCCUAUUCCCAACUAAACUGACACUAAUACUAGAAUGGACUGAACUAGACUAAACAUUAUUACAUAACUGAUAGUGCUCAUCAUGAUCAUAAACAAGUAUGUAUACUGAUAAGAGUCAUGGAUUAACUGUCUCAGUACUUGAAAAGCUGAAUUCAUGUAAAACACAUUGGUAUCAGGUGUUCAUAACCCACUAGCACUGAAUGAAUAUAAGUAUGUGAUAUCAACCUUGAAAUAUAGUAAUACAUGAUUAUUGUUCAAAUACCAAAACAUGGAAUUUCAUUGAAAUAUGUGAAAAUCAUAAACUUAAAUAUGAGAAUAUCUUAACUAUGAGGAAACUAUAGGAAUUUAUGGCUAAACUCGUAACGUGAGGAUUCAUCUUGAAACCAAUUGAACAUGACAUGGAAAUUUCAAUACUCAAACAUGAUAUGGUUUAUUCUACUUGAAAAUACUUCUAACUAUAACUUGUAAUUGAAUUAACAAGAGACUCAUGGAUUUAGUUUAACUUGAACAUUUAAAACUCAUAAUUUAAUACACCAAAAAGGGUUCUUGGACUCCAUGGGUGAAAGGAACCCAUGGAUGAACAUCACACAUACCUUAAUGGCUAAAAUCUUAAAGAUUACUUGAACUUAAGAGCUUUAACCCUUGUAUUCUUAAGAUGAAAGCAUGGGUUUGUUCUUGGGUAAAAAAAGGGUUUAUUAGGAGAAUUUAUGAGUAAAAGGGAAAAUAAUGCUCUUUAGGGACUCAAAUUUUGUGUUAUGGAAGAGUUGGGUGAAGGGAAAAUGACUAAAAUUCCAUUUAAAUGACAAGGAACAAAAGAUGGACAAAAGGGGAAGGGGGCGACGCAGGCUAUGGAGCGGGGAACUAGGCCAAGCGGCGCCCGCCUUACCCCGGCAGACUGGACCAGGCGGCGCUCUCUUAUCCUGGUGAUGCUACUAUUUUAGUUUUCCAACUACGCCCCUACGCUCGUCUAAAAAUUCUGAAACUCUUUUGAGAUAUACUUUGACCCACCCCAAUCAUGAAUCAACUCAAAAAUCAAUAUCUCAGGGUCAGGAAGACCAAAAAUAAAAUCAUCAAAGUUUAGGGGCCUUGGAAAUGACUAAGACCUCAAUACUUAGUGAAAUUUCUAAAUCUUGGACCCCCUUCAACAUACAAUCAUAAGAUGAAUUGAACUAGGAUCUUACGGGGUAUUACAUAUGGUAACCACCUCCUAUGUAUUAUUUUGGACUAAAGCAUCAAUCUAUGUUUGCAUGGCAUAGAUCUAUAUAGGAUCUUUUAAUGAAGCUUCAUAAGAAUCAGGUCCAGUUUCAGAAGAAACAAUAGCCAAAAAAGUAUAAUAGAUAGGUGAAAUGGAGGAAUAGCUAAGAUACUUAGAGAUAGGAUAAGAGCAUGUAGUAUUCCUUUUUGCUGAGUAAACAAAAUCUUAAAGCCACGUUGGAGUUUUAGUACCUCUUGUGAACUUUUUCAAUUGAGCUGCAUAAAUAACAGAUGAGGUGCCUGAGUAGAAGCAUGAGGGAUAAGAGUUGUAUGAUCAAUAUCAUAAAAAUAACUGGUUGAAACUUCAACAGCAUCAACUAGCUCAUCUAGUGAAGAAUUUAUAGCAACAGAAGAUGGAGCAGGAAAACUAGUUUGAUCACUACGUAUAUCAACAAACACUGGAUUACUGAUGCCACUUGACACAGCCUGUAAUUGGGCCUUGUCGUAUGGGCACCUCAAUCCCAACAAGGACCAAAGAUUGCCCCGUUAACCCAAUCUAACCAUCAUAUCAACACUCAAGUGUCAGAUGGAGUCCGUCUAUAAAAUAAGAUUAACAAAAACAAAACUACAAUCAUAGCUUAUGGAGCAUCUAAUAAAUCCAUUAAAAUCAACAACUAACCAACAUACCCAAGUCCAUAGUCAUCUGUAAAGCCUCUACAAAAUUGAUGUCUACAAUAUGUUGGUACAUGCCCCCGAUAAUAGCCAGAACCAAGUCUAAAACAAGUCUAAUACAUAAGAUAAAAGACUAUAAAAAAUAUUCCUUCAAAUAAUGGAAGCUCACCACUUCAAUGUCAAUACACAAUUCGCUCGAACACCUGGUCACUGCACAGGAAAAGAAGAAGAAGAAGAAGAAGAAGAAGAAGCUCUGGCCCCUAUGCCACGUAAGGACAAAGCGUCCAGAGAUGGUUAGUUAUUGGAGCACUAGCAUGUACUCAAGGGUAAGAAUAAAAUAGUGUAGCCAUUCAAAACCAAGUCAAACUAUCACAUCCAACCGUAUUUAUGUCAAUAUAGUUAUAUAGAAAGAUACACAUAUACAUAAAGGUACAUAAUGUGCCAAAACAAGGAAUAAGUCAUAACAUGCGUUCUCAAAGUAAUUCAAUUAUGAGACACGGUGUGAAGGACUCAAACCUCUUAUCCUUAUAGAUUAGAAAAUUAAACUUCUCUGUUACAUUAGGCAAGAGGACCCAAACCUCAAGCCAUCUUAUUUCAUAUGGCAAGUGGACCUUAACCGCAAGUCAUUACAUCUUAAAUGAUAAGUGGACACUAACCACAAAUAGUCUCAUCGUAUAUGGUAAGUGGACACUAACCACAAACCAUCUCAUUUGGCAAGUGGACCCUAACCACAAUCCUUCUUGUAUGGAAAGUAGACCUUAACCACAAGCCUUCAUAUGUAUGGCAAGUGGAAAUUAACCACAAGUUGUCAUCUCUUUUAUGGUAAGUGGACCUUAACCAUAAACCGUCACAACCAUUACUAGUCAACAAUUAGGACUCUAACCCUUUAUCAAUGCAUUAACACCCACUCAAUCCAACACAUAAGGACUUUAACCUAUUUAGAUAAUUCAAGCCACCAAUCCACAAUUUAAUAUUUCAUGUACGACUACACGAUCUUUAUAAAACAAUUUAACAACCAAUUAUUUAACUAGUCCAAUGCCUUAGUUCAUACCACAAUGCAAAUUCAUUCAUGGUCGUCAAGACCCUUACAAACCACUCAUUCUUCAUUAGCACUCUUAUACCAAAUUUUAGUUCAAAACACAAUUCAAUUCCAUGCUUAGGGACUCCAACCUUUUUAGUUUUCAUACCACCAAAGUCACCAAAUUAAUUUAUUACAUGGACAUCAAGGCCAUCACAUAUCCAUUUACCAAGAAUUCACAUUCAUUAUGCCAAUGUCAUAGUUCAUUCAUACUCAUUAGACCUAUGUCAUAGUUCAAUGCACCAUUAACAAGUGGCUAGUUAUUUCUCAUAGACAUUUUCAUAAACACCUUGAGAGCAUACAUUUAUUAAGACCAAAACCAAAGUACAAAUCAUCAAAUCUAGAUUUAAUCAUGACCCUUUUGUCAAACCACCAUCAACAAGCACCCACAUAUGUAAUUCAUCCCCAUAAACAUAUAUAAACACAAAUUUAAGCAAGAGUAAAUAAUACCCAACACAAUGAAUCAAACCCUCAACAUUUGUUUCAAAAACCACCAUUAAAGAUUCAUAGACAAUGUUUAAAUAAAAUAAUAUUUGAGAAAUAACAAUGAGUGAAGAGUCACAUGCCUUAUACAAGAUGAUUCAUGGAAGGAACUUAAUCCCUUUAGCCUCUAAAAGAACACCUCUUCAAACCCUAGCCUCCAAUCCUCAAGAGUGAGGUAGAGAGUGUUUUUAGUGAGUUUUAAUCUUACAAAAUAUGUUAUGAGAAGCUAUAACAUGUUACAUAGUGAGGGGACUUAAGGGUUUUGGGGUGGGAAAUGUCCAUAGUGUCCUCAAGUUAAAAGCUGAAAAUAAACGCCGGGGAAAUACCUUAGGGUAUGAGUGGUACCCUAAAUCAUACCCUAGGUCUCCCAUGGACCCCUAAACUAUCCCACAUAUGACUCUACUAGCAUGACUCAUACCCUAAGGUAUGAGAAGUACACUUACCCAUACCCUAACUCGUAUCCUAAGCAGGAUACUUUGGUCAAGACUUAUGGCAUCAUAUGAAUUGGUAACCUAUGACUUGUACCCUAAUAUAAGAGUUGGACCUUGCACAGACUACUCCUCAACUUACACUGUCUAACAUACGAGAGGGGGAACAAAGUUGUGUCCUAGGGUAUGACUAGUACCCUUGAGUCAUACCAUGGACAGAAUAUCCAUGACCCAAGAAUUUUUGCAAGGCCAAAGUUUUGGGUGUUUCACCACUAUUCUUCAUCAAUAAAAAAUGAAAUAUGUGUUCCUUAAAAAUAAUAUAUCUACUAAAAAAAAUCUUCUUUAACUUAAAAUCAUAAAGUCUAUAUCCUUUUGUGUAUUUGAGUAGCCUAUAUGCACAGCAGGCAUAGCUCUGGGUUGAAACUUAUCUACCUUUUCUGUAAUAGUAGUAAAACAUAAGCAACCAAGGACUCUCAGAUGGUACAUAAGCAACCAAGGACUCUCAGAUGGUACAGACAAGGGAUUGUGCCAUAAAAUAUUUUAUAAGGAGAUUUGCCUGCUAAUACAACUGAUGGCAGUCUAUUAAUCAAGUACACUACAGUUAAUACACAAGCUCCCUAAAAGUGAAGUGGUAUACUCCCUUGAAACCUGAGUGCUCUUGCCACUUUCAAGAUAUGUUUGUGCCUUCUCCCCACCACUCUAUUCUGUUGUGGAGCUACUAUAUUGUCUAAUACCACUAUAAAGUAAGAAAUUAGUAAACUCUUUACUAAAAAACUCAGCACCAUUAUGAGUUCUGGUCAUUCUAACUUGUUUAUGAAACUGAAUUUGCACCAUUUUGACAAAGGAUUUAAGUAAAACAAUAGAGUCAUUUUUCAAUUUCAUCAGAAAAAUUCAUUUCAUUUUUGAGUGAUCAUCCACAAAAAUAAGAAAAUACCUAUGACUUUAAGAAGUAGGAACCUUUUUAGGCCCCAUAUAUCAAUGUGGAGAAGAUGAAAAAUACCAUCUGACCUAGUAGUACUGAGAGGAAACAAUUUUCCUAUUUGUCUAGCUAAUGGACAUACAGUGCAAUCAUGGAAACUACAAGAUCUCACUUUAUUUUGUAGAAUAUAUAACUGCUUCAUUAUAGAGGCUGGCAUAUGACCAAGUCUUUUGUGCCAACCCUGAACAUCUUUAGAUAAUGUGUUUGCAAUAUAUCUACUAGAUUUUAUUCCUUCCUUUAUUCCUAAAUCCAUCACCUUACCAGAAUUUUUUGGAAGUAGAAGAUAUAAGCCUCCUUGUUCCUUACCAAUCCCCCUCAUAGGUCCUAAAAUACACAGAAAUGGGGAAAGAAAAGCACUAAGCACUUUAAUUCUCUAGUCAUCUAGAGAUUGACAGUAAGUUAUAUGUGAAAUUUGGUACAUAUAAUACAUUUCCAAUAUCAUAACCUCCUGCAUGUUACAUCUGCCCUAAUUGUUAACUAGUACAGUCCUACCAUUUGGUAGAUGCAUAUUACUCUUCUUUGGAUCAUGCAUAUUAGUCAAACUAUUCAUCAACUAUAGGUUACUGGUCAUAUGAUCUAUUGUUCCAAUGUCAAUUAUCCAUGAAUCUUUAUAUAUAUGCAUAGAAUUAGAGUUUUCGGUAGCAUUACCUACCACAUUUCUAGCCAGCUCUACUCUCUUUCCUUUAUCAAGCAUGUGCAUAAUUUGGUUGUACUACUUAUAAGUAAAGUAAUUUUGCCCUUUGUUUCCCUGUUUAUUAUAAACAUAGAUUCCUGAGUGAUGUUGUGAUCUUUGAGCAGUUCCAUUACUUCCAACAAUACGAGUGCACUUGGCUCUUUGAUGAUAUUAUUAUUUAUGAACAUUCUCAAUAGAAUUAGAUACAACUCUUAUAUUCUGAGCAAUAUCAUGUAUUUCGUCAAAACAAUCAUGUAUAGACAUAUUUGCUUGCCUUAUAGACUUGUCCCAACUACCUUCUCCUAUGAUGUUAUUACCUUAUCUAAUCAAUGGUUUCUUUUUUCCUCUGUAGCCUAGUGGAUAACCUAUUACUCUGUUGCACAUGGCUUCACUGUGACCAUUUCUUCUACAAAGGUCACAAAACAAAUAGCUACUAAAAUUGCUACUUGUUACCACCAAAAUUGCCAGAAUGGUUAUAAUUGUUAAAAUUUUUGCCCUCGGACUGACUAUUAUAAAAAACUUAAUAAACCUGUACUUUCACUCAGCACAUGCCCUGUUUAUGAUGAACUAGUUGUUAUUUAGUAUGUAUUAGGGUACAAGAAUCUAUAUAUAAGCAACACGAACUUCAACAUUAGUUCAAUUCCAAGACAAGAACACUUAUGAAGUUCCUUAACACCUUCAACACAACAUUAUGAAUAAUCUAUCUAAUAAGUGUGUUAAUGUUCAAAAAAGAGAUGAAAUAGAAUUUUAAGGCCAAGUACCCCGACUUCACGGAGUUUUGUUAAGUAAUAAUUCCCCUCAAUGUACCCGAGGUUAUGAAAUCUUCCUCCCAGGAUAAACUGGCCUUCAAUCCAAACAAUAGCGGUACCUCAAAUUAUUGGAUUCAACGAACUCACUCAACGAUUUGAUUGAUCACACAGAAUGUUUUUGAAGACAAGAAGAGAGCUUUUUUUUCAGAAAAUUUAUGUCUAAGCCUGUAGAUGAAGGCAGGUUUAUAGCCUAUCAGAUGCCUCUUCGAAAAGGUGGCAAUAGUUCACUUAAAAGGUGUGACCUUUCUGGAAAUUCAUGUUUGUUCGUCCAAAGAAUGUGUCUUUUCCGAAAAGGCAUACCAUUUCAUGAAACAGUGUGUCAUUUCGUUAAAGGGUUGCAUCCCCUCCGUAGCAUCACUUCGUUUCUGCAUUACAUUUCAAAAUAGUGUCAGCCACUACAUGCAUGCGUAUAAAUGGAGGAUUAAAAAAUCAUAGAAAAUAUCUGUUUUCUCUUUUGGUAUUUUUGUAUUAAAUUUAUGUCAAAUAAACUUUGUCCAAAAAAAUGGAUCUCAUCGAUUGACAAAUCCGAAGCCGAAGCUGAGCAAGCGAUGACGACGGUACGAGACAUCUCUUAUUUCUUGCCUCACUUACCAAGUGGAAUAAGUGUUUCUUAAUAAACACUUGAAAGUCAUAUUCUCCCACCAAUGUGGGAGAAUCAGUAGACUUUUCAUUUUAGAGUACACUUUCUUUUUUAGUGUUUUCUUCUCUAUUUUUCCUCCACUUGUUACCCUCCAUUUUCCAUUCAUACUUUUCAUAUACUUUGAACCCAACAAUCCCCCACAUGAAUGAGGAAUGGCUAUUUUUCAUAAAAAUUUUACGGACAAGUAUACGAUCAUCAAGCAAAGAUGAUUGCAUCUGGAUAAAUGGGUUUUUCGUUCAAUUUUCCGUAGUGAACAUGCAUCGGAUGCACUCGGUCAAUCAGUAGAUUUGAUAUCUUUGAACCGUUGAGCUUUAAUGUACACCUAGACAACACAUGUCACACAACCAGCCUUUUACUGUUUAUGAUUCUCAUGGUUUUGUUCUUUUCAGCCAUGAACACGUCCCAGUUUUAUGAGAGCUUAGAGAAUAGGCCUUUACUAACAUUCUCCUUGAAGUGACUUCCACUUCGCCCUCACAUAGGUGAUUUCUAAAUGUUUAGUCCUAUAGAUUAAACUAUUUGGUCAAAUCUGCCAAAUUUAGAUUAUCAUUAAAAGAUUUUUCACCUUAAGUCUUAUCCUUAUUUCCUAAACAUUGUCUACAUCAUAAGAAUGUCUUGGGUAUAUUAACAAUGUUGAACCUUUCAAACACAACUUUGUUUGAUCUCCUUGAACCUAGCUUUUGGGAUCUCCAGUCUGCUAGGUAGAGUUACCGCUAUGCUAACUUGUCCUAUGCCGUAAACCCAUUCCCUUGGAUGUCCUUUCCACUCCUUCUCUAGAUAGGCCUUUUGUAAGUAGAUUCGACACAUUAUCCUUAGACUUUACAUAGUCAACAAUGAUAAUUCCACUAGAGAGAAGUUCCUUAAUGGUAUUAUGUCCCCGUCGUAUGUGAUGAGAUUUACCGUUGUACAUAAUGCUCCGUGCCCUACCUAUUACCGCUUUGCUAUCAUAGUGUAUACAUACUGGUGCCUCUAGUUUGGGACAAUGAGGAAUAUCUUCCAAGAAAUUUCGAAGCCAUUCUGCUUCUUCACCGGAUUUAUCCAAUGCAAUAAAUUCAGAUUCCAUUGCAGAGCGAGCAAUACAAGUCUUUUUGGAUGAUUUCUGAGAGACUGCUCCUCCACCAAUAAUAAAUACAUAUCCACUUGAGGAUUUUACUUCGUUCGAUCCGGUGAUCCAAUUUGCAUCACUGUAUUAUUCGAGUACCGUGGGAUAUUUUUUAUAAUACAAGGCAUAGUCUUUAGUGUAUUUAAGAUACCCCAAAACUCUUUUCAUUCCCAUUCAAUGUGUUUUGUUGGGAUUACUCAUGUACCAACUCAAUUUACUAAUAGAGCAUGAUAUGUCUAGUCAUGUACAGCUCAUUAUAUACAUUAAAAAACCCAAUACUCUUGCAUACUCCAAUUGUGAGUCACUUUCACCUUCAUUCUUUCAAAGUGCAAAGCUCAAUUCAAUCGAGUCUUGGCAAUAUCGAAUUCCAUAUACUUGAAUUUGUCAAGUAAAUUUUUGAUAUAAUGAGACUGUGACAAUGCCAACCCUUGUGGAAUUCUAUGGAUUCUUAUUUCUAAGAUCACAUCCAGAACUCCAAGGUCUUUCAUAUCGAACUUACUCUCGAGCAUUCAUUUCAUUGCAUUUAUGUCUAAAAUGUCUCUACUGAUGAUCAACAUAUCAUGCACAUAUAAACAUACAAUGACUUGGUGAUUUGGAGUGUCUUUAAUAUAAACACAUUUAUCACAUUCAUUUAUCUUGAAUCCGUUUUCCAACAUGGUUAGGUCAAACUUUGCAUAUCAUUGCUUAGGUGUUUGUUUUAGUCCAUAAAGUGACUUAUCAAGUUUACACACCUUAUUUUCUUUUCCUAGGACCACAAAACCCUCAGGUUGUUCCAUGUAAAUUUCUUCCUCAAAUUCUCCAUUUAGGAAUGCGAUUUUCAUAUUCAUUUGAUGGAUUUCAAGACCAUAUACCGCCGCCAAGGCAAUUAAUAUUCGAAUCAACGUUAUCCCUGUUACUGGCGAGUAUGUAUCAAAGUAAUCAAGGACUUCUUUUAUUUGAAGCAUUUUACUACAAGUCUUGCCUUGUAUUUGUCAAUAGUAUCAUCCGCUUUCAUUUUUAUUUUGAAUAUCCAUUUAGAACCUAAAGGUUUAUUUCCUGGAGGAAGAUCAACCAAUUCCCAUGUAUGGUUGUUUGAGAUUGAAUCAAUCUCACUAUUGACUGCCUUUUUCCAAAAGGAUGAGUCUGAUGACAACAUUGCUUCUUUAUAUAUUUGAGGCUCAUUUUCUAAGAGAAAUGUUACAAAAUACGAACCAAACGAAGUUGACGUUCUUUGACGUGUACUACAUCUUGGAUUUUCUUCAUUAUGUACAUUGUCACUUAGUUCAUCUCGAGAUCGUUUAGACCCCCCACUAGACUGUUCAUGUCUAGUUUUAUACGGAUAAAUGUUUUCAAAGAAUUCGCCACCCUAUACCAGAUUUAUAAAUCUAAUAAAGGAAAAAAUACUUUCCAAAAAUAGACAAGUUGAUUUCUUAAAAAAUAAAAUUUGUAGUUUAACAAUAGAACAAACUUUACAAAAUCCUAAACUAAUGGAGAAAAUAGAAUUUUCGAAAAAUCAGUUUUCAUUACAAAUUUGUGGAGAUCACCCAAAUACUUUUUGACAAAGAAAAAAGUAUGUGGUUAGUCUUCCAUAUAAAGACAGUUUUCAAGAGAAUAAUAUUCAAACUAAGGCAAGACCUUGUCAAAUGAAUUCUAAAUAUUUAGAAUUAUGUAAGAAAGAAAUUGAUUCUCUUUUGCACAAGGGCUUAAUAAAACCUUCAAAAUCUCCAUGGUCAUGUACCACUUUUUAUGUUAAUAAACAUGUUGAACAAAAAAGAGGAGUUCUAAGAUUGGCUAUCAAUUACAAACCACUCAACAAAGUCCUCAAAUGGAUCAGGUAUCCAAAUCCUAAUAAGAAGGAUUUAUUGGAUAGAUUAUAUGAUGCUCUAAUAUUUUCGAAAUUUGAUUUGAAAUCAAGUUAUUGGCAAAUCCAGAUAAUGGAAGCAGAUAAAUAUAAAACUGCUUUUAAUGUUUCAAUGGGUCAAUUUGAAUAGAAUGUCAUGCCUUUUGGAUUGAAGAAUUCUCCAUCAAAAUUUCAAAAUCUUAUGAAUGAUAUUUUCAUGCCUUACAGCAAUUUCAUAAUUGUUUAUAUUGAUGAGAUUUUGGUUUUCUCAAAAAAUAUAGAGAUACACUUUAAACAUUUGAAUCUUUUCAAGAAAAUCAUCAUACAAAAUGGGUUAGUAAUAUCUAAACCUAUGAUGUUCCUUUUUCAGAAAAAAGGUAAGAUUUCUAGGUCAUAAUAUUGACCAAGGGAAAAUAAUCCCUAUAAACAGAAGCAUAGAAUUUGCUUCUAAAUUUCCGAUAUCAUAACAGGCAAAACUCAAUUAUAAAGAUUUUUGGAUAGUCUGAAUUAUAUAUGUCUUUUUAUAAUGGAACUUGCUAAAGAUACAGUUAUCUUAUAUGAUAGACAAAAGAAAAGUCCCAAUGCAUAGACAUAGGGUCAUGCCCAAGCUGUAAAAAAUAUUAAGGCAACGGUUAACAACUUGUCGUGCCUUACAUUGGCCAAUCCUAAUUGGGAAAAAAUUAUUGAAACAAAUGCUUAUAAUAUUGGCUAUUGAGGAAUUGUAAAAUAAUAUUCCCUACAGGAUAAACAGGUUUAUAUCAUUCAGUUUUAUUUAGUAAAAUGGAUUUCCAGUCCAAAGAAUUAUGCAACAGUUGCAAAAGAAAUCCUUGCAAUAGCAAAAUGUGUUCUAAAAUUUCAAGGAGAUUUACACAACCAAAAGUUUUUAAUAAAACUGAAUGUCAAGCAGCAAAUUCAACUUUAAUAAAGACUGUAAAUAUGAUGUUUCCAAACAAAUAUUUGCAAAAUGGCAAGCUCUAUUAGCUCCAUUUGAUUAUGAAAUUCAAUAUUUAAAGGGAUUUGACAAUAGUCUUACUUACUUCCUUACUAGAGAAUAUUUGAACUAAUGCCUUUUAAUUUAUACAGGAUGGUAUCUUAGUCUUCAAACUCCUCUAAUAGAGGCAGGACCAGAGGAAGAUCAUGCAGAGGCAGAGAAAAUAUCCUUGCCCAAAUGGAAAACUGUAAUACUUCGCAUUUCCAUAGCAUAAUCUAAGUCCCAAUACAUGAGUAAUCGUAAAUGAAAUUUUUGAAACACUCAUUACUUUUCAGUUUAGAGUCUAUCAUUCUUAGGAAAUUCAAUUAGCUUUCCAACAAUAUACAAGUAGCCCAAAUUUGAUAACCAGGUAAGAAGUUAUGGCGAUUUUAAGUUUCAUUCACAACAUCCCGUCAUUUUAACCUUUAGCGCAUCGCGGAGCAGGCCAAUCUCCUAUUUGGAAAAUUUCAAUGAAGGUCCACGAACCUGGUGCAUUAUGCCAUAGGUCAACUUGACAUUUGUCCAUUUCCAGUGUCAAAGCGCGCUACCACUACGUCGCGGUGAACUUCCAGAUCCCAAUCAGUGAAGGACCGCGAUUUCCCGGCGUCGUGCCAUAGACCAGUUUCCUAGUUGUCCGAUUCUAGUGACACGGCGUGAUAGCGCCGCGUCGCGCCAGCCCAAAAAAUUGGGAUUUUCAGUCAGUUCUGAGUUUUAAUUCCAAGGGCUUUUAAGUACUUUUCCCUUGUCCCAGUCAGCCCCAAACACGAAAUUAAGUCCCUAAUAACCUAAUUGGGCAUUAUUCUAAUCAAUUUUUUCCCAAAAUCAAGAAUAUUAUCUCAAGUAGCAAAACCCUAACCUUCAAGAAUCAAGGUCAACUCUCAAGAACUCUCCAUCAAUCCUUCCAAAUUCAUCAUCCCAGGUAUGUUAGAUGUUCAUCCAUGGAGCCCAAGUAACCUAUUUUAAUCACCAAGUUAUAAUCUUUCAAGUUAUUAUGUUUUAAAUUAUGAUUUUAUCCAUGAAUCUCUAAGUACUAUUGAUUUUAUUCCAUGUUGCCAGGAAAUUAUUGUUAUUAUUCAAUCCUCCAUGUUUUAAUAUUAUUAUUUAUUGAAUUAAACCAUGAUUUAAUACUAUUAUGAUGAAUUCAUGCUAUUCCUACAACUUUCAUGACAUUUCUAUGAUUGUUUUAAAACAUGAACUACAAGUGUUUGAUAAAAUGCCUACAAGAGUGAUUGAUUUAAAUGAAAACCUUUCAUGUUUUGUCCUUCAAGCUUUAGUAUCUUUUCAGUAUUAUUGUUUUGAGUCCUGGGGGUAUUGAAUAUUGGAAAACCAUAGUUAUUUAUUUAGUCUAGUCUCAGUACAUUACAGAAUAGUCUUCAGAUUAUAUUAUGAGCAUUAUCAGAAUCACCAUAGUAAUUCAACUCAAAACAAUCUAGUAUCUCAGUGUCUUUCAGUUGGGAGUAGGAUUUAGCACUGAGAGAGUGCAGGGAUGGAGGCUUCCCCGUCAGAUAGGCAAAGUCGUUAGUAGAAGUCCCUAUACUCUAGAACUAUGUAGCCAGUAUAGGAUAUAAGUAGUCACCGGUCAGAUUAGGCUUGACUAUCUCGCAGGGGUCACCCGUCAGUUCAAGCUUGACACCCUUAGUCCUUUGGAUAUUAUAUCUUUUUAGUGGAUUCACAAAGCCAUUAUUAGUACCCUUGGUACGGUAUUAACACCCUUCCAACUGGGUUUACAGGUUGGAGCCUGAUUAGCUCAAAUUAGGGAAUGUCGGUUAGAUGAUACCUCCCACAGUCUCAGAUAUAGUCUCAGUUACAACCUCAGUUCAAUUAUACAAUCUUAGUGUUGUUUGACCAAAGCAUACAAAUUUCAAUUAUUUUAGUAUUUCAAUUUACAGAUAUUACUCAAUUUAUGUUAUAUGCUUGGUCAUGCAUCAUCAGUAUUUACAGAUUUUCAUGCAUUUUUAGUAUCUAUAGAUUCCAUGCUCUCUACUCAGUAGUCCAUGCUUUACAUGCAUAUCCAGUUAAUUAUUAGUUCUGUUAAUAAAACCAAGCAUACCAUCCUACCUCAUUUAGCAUACCAGUAUAUUCAAAGUACUGAUCGCAUACCUUUCUUUUGCAUUAUGAUAUAUCAUAUCAUAGGUGUUGACGCUCAGUUCUCAGAUCACACUUAGUCCCUUAAAUCAUCAGCAGUAUAGUAG